CUGAUCCCUGGUUUGUCUUGGGUGUGUCUUGUUCCUUUUCAGUCGUCCAGUGGUGUGUCCCAGUCUCCAGUACAGGACCGGAGCGACACCAUACCCCUGGAGGCUCCUCUGGCUAAAUCAGAAGAGGAAGAACCAGCUAAAGAGCAACCAAAGAGGCAGGAGCUGACCCCGACCAAGACCUUCACUAAGACACCCACGGCCCACCUGACCACAGAGCGAGACCCCGAGCGCGACCCUGAGAGUGACUCGGGCCUGCCUGACCGCUCGUCUGAGCCCCACCAGCAGCCCCUCCCCGAGACCACAGGGGGCGCACUGGAGAGCACGGUCACUGUGUCGUCCUCCCCUCCCCCUGCUCUGCUCAGAAGAAGAGACUCUCCCACCUCUCCUAGACUGAGCCGUAUCCCAGUGCGAGACCCCAGCACCCCUCUGGACUCCCCGAGUAAGGAGCUAGCCCACGAGAGGCACAAGCGCUGGAGCAGCCCCCUGCACGGCUCCCCCACACACUCCCCCUCCCCCUCUCUGUCCUGUGACAACCUGCCCUCCGCCCUGCCCCGGGACCGACUGUCCUCUGAGAGGGAGGAGCCUCUGUCCCUGAGCUCCAGCUCAGGCAGCAGGAGUAAGAUCCCCCGGCCUGUCAGUGCCUCCUUUGUGUCGGAGCAGCUCAACACCAAGUUCAUGCCCAGACCCCCCCCAGGCCGGCCCCCAGUGAGGGCAGGGGCGGACAGUGACUUCAGAAGGCGUCGUCUCCGGAUCCGAGCGUCUAGCACCAGUGAUGCCGAUUUCCUGUCCAGUCUGACCGCUCUAGUACAGGACAAGGCAGGGCUGCUCCUGAGCUCACCCUCCCGACCGCGGAGCUCCUCCUCCCGCCUGCAGCGCUCCCUCAGCUCCUCUCCUCCACCCCCCCCCACCGCACGCACCUACCCAGGCUCUCCACCUCCACAUGCCAAGGACAGAGGCUCCACGCUGGGGACACAGUGGGGCCCCAGCUCCCCUGGCAGAAGCCCGGGCCUGGAGGUGAAGGCCAAAGCAGGCCGGUGAUGGCUAAAGCAGGCCGGUGAUAAGGUGGAUGGCAUGUGUGCAGAGCAGUAUUAGCAAGGGAAUGUACUGUAUCUAAUGUAAAAUGUACCAUAAACUCUAUUUAUUUAUUUGGUGUUGGCUGUGUCUCUAAGCCCUCCCCUCUAGCUGCAUUCAUGUGCUGUUGGAAACCUCAACAUUGUUCCUCACUUACCUUACCUAUUCCUCACUUGGCAUCCUAAUUAUUCAUCAUGAUGACUUUUAAAGUGCUUUUCACGACUUUUAAAGGCCAGGGUAGGGUUUUGCUGUGACGGUAAAGCUAACAAUAGCCUGCUAACGAAGCACUUCCUGAAUUCGGAC
ensembl:lncRNA